rnacentral:lncRNA from 13 species
AUUUUACUCAGUUUUACUCUUAAGACUUUCAAGGAAUAGAUGAGGCCCAUCUUCAUCACUGAGGGUACUCUUUACUUAAAGUCAGCUGAUAGUAUAUGGAAACCAUAACCACAGAACACCUUCCCAGCAAUACCUAGAUGAGCGUUUGAUUAAAUAACUGGGUCCUAUAGCCUCACCAUGUUGACACCUAAGCCUGAUCGCUUCACUCUGUCCUGGGAAAGUUAUGAGGAUGAAGUCAGAUACUGAGUAGUAGCUGGCAUAUGGUAAGCACUGAUUCAGGAUUACUACUGCCGUGAUUUUUAUUUUGUCUUGUUUUUUGGUCUGCUACUGAUUCAACAAAAGCCUCGUGCUUCUUUCCUAGGUAUUUGCCACUCAGAUACAGCACAUCUAAGGGGAUGUUUGUUUGCUAUGAAAGCAGGAUUUAAACUAUGGGAACACAGCAGUAGCAGGCUCCUGGAGGAGAGAGUCAAUGUUGAAAAUUGGGAGUGCUUCUUGUUAGCCCCACUGACAUCAUUGGAGGGAUCAUUCAGCAGAAUUCUAAUAGCACAGACUCUGGGGCCUGCCUGCUUGGGUAAGCCUUAGGCUCUGCUUUGGUUCGAAUCUCAGCCCUUCACUUAUCAGCUGAGUGAUUUGGGAUGCAGUUGUGAUGGAAACUAAAUUUUAGUGCGACACUCCUACCAGAUGAGAUGAGCUGUUUGCGGAAGCACCACCACGUCUUAAUAGACUGGAGAUGCCACGAUUGUCCAAACUCUCGCCACGUCUCAGACUGUAUUCUCAGAAAGACAGGUUUGGCAUUAAGUAACAAUCAUUUAAAGUUCAUUUAACUUUUCACUCAGUUACUCACUCAGCAUCUAUGGGUCACCCGUCAGGUCUAGCAGAGGGUGGAAGAUGACCCCUAUGACUUGUGCAGGUGAGUCACUAAAAAAGAAGUGAGAAAAUAAACACCUGUCUGCUUUUACUCA